rnacentral:rRNA from 1 species
UGAGGAAUAUUGGUCAAUGGGCGAGAGUCUGAACCAGCCAAGUAGCGUGCAGGAUGACGGCCCUAUGGGUUGUAAACUGCUUUUAUGUGGGGAUAAAGUGCGUGACGUGUCAUGCAUUGCAGGUACCACAUGAAUAAGGACCGGCUAAUUCCGUGCCAGCAGCCGCGGUAAUACGGAAGGUCCGGGCGUUAUCCGGAUUUAUUGGGUUUAAAGGGAGCGUAGGCUGUCUAUUAAGCGUGUUGUGAAAUUUACCGGCUCAACCGGUGGCUUGCAGCGCGAACUGGUCGACUUGAGUAUGCAGGAAGUAGGCGGAAUUCAUGGUGUAGCGGUGAAAUGCUUAGAUAUCAUGACGAACUCCGAUUGCGCAGGCAGCUUACUGUAGCAUAACUGACGCUGAUGCUCGAAAGUGCGGGUAUCAAACAGG